rnacentral:snRNA from 1 species
AUUUUUUUUUAAUUUUAACAUCAUCUUAAUAAAAUUAUUAAAUUUGUUCUUAUCAGUUUAAUCUCUGAUAGGCCCUGUCUAAGGACUGUGUAUUAAAUUGUUUUUUGGAACAGGGGGCUGGGCUAGUAGCUUGCUCCCCCCUGGUAUUGCAGUGCCAUCAGGAACGAUGCGACUCCC